GAGAGAGUUGGGAUAUGCCAUCAAGCGGGUUCGGAUAGUUUGCUCACAGCUUGUUCAUUCAGGAAACUAAAGGAGAAUUUCUUUAGCGGCUCCUUGGAAAAAUAUGCUGGUGUGUUGUAUGGGUUAGGUGUUGAAAAUGGANNGAAUACCAAUUGAUGAUGAAAAAUUAAAAAAAAAAAAAAUUAUGAUUAGAAAGAUGCUCAUUCAAUUGUAUGUGUGAUGGGCACCCACAAUGUAUGUACACUUUUGUCCUCUUAAGUUUUUUUGUUUAGUGAAUAUUUUCAUGUUUUUUAUUAUUCUUUUUU
rnacentral:misc_RNA from 1 species